GACCUCUUGGCUCAGUGGUAGAGCAUCUGAUUCCAGUAUUGCAACGGUUUCCAGAAGGUCGUCCGUUCGAUCCGGGCAGAGGUCA